UCUGGAUGUUCUUGAUAUAUGAGAAGCCUACAUGGCAUCAGCUGGGAAAACUGCAGUCAACAUUGGAAUAAUCAAAAGUGACCACAUGCAAUAAUAGUCUGUGUGACAGUGAAGGGGGGACACCAGGAAGCAGGUGUUCUAUAUGACAGAGGAUCAAUACUCCUGUUGAGGAGAUAAGAUAGAUUCCAAAUGGAAAAUAAACUCAUGGAGAAUACGAACAGGAAGACAAGAGAAGGGGAGGGAAAGUGAGACAAGCCUGCAGGAAACAACACAACAAAGGGAGUGUGGGGGAGUGUGCAAGGCCCACAGCUGACUGGCUGAUGAAAACUGACUGCAUGAGAGUGUGGGAUAGGACAGUCAAUACGAAUUUGCUUCCAUGACAAGGAAAGGGGACAAUGCACACAUUUAGAAGCUUGAGCUAUACAAAUUAGCUAGGAUCUUCUACAUUCUAAUUUAACAGGCUUGCAGAAAAAUUUCAUCAUUUGUAACGUGUUGACGGCCUCAAAAACUUGAUUUUGUUUAGCAAGGCCUAGUUUUUAGUAAGAAAACAAGGACAACCCAUAUUUCAUUUCUUUUGAAAAUAUAUUUCAAUGAAAAGGGAGAUGGAUAGAGGUAAACCUAAUUUGCAUUAUUUAGUUCAAAAGAAAGGUUGCUUUGAUGCCACUGUGUAUAUUUGCAGCGCUU
rnacentral:lncRNA from 1 species